AUAGCUAAGAAUAUUCAACAGUGUAAAGUCUUUGUAGAAUUUACAAAUAAGCUGUUUGUGCUGCUUUAAAUAUGUAGAUUAUAUCAUUAUCAUUUUAUCAAAUGUUUUUUUCAUAAGGUUAAUCUAAAUGAACGUUAACUUAAUGUCAAGUUGCCAAGACUACAUUUAUUAAUUUCCAGAUCAUAUUAAAUAUCUUUAAAAAUAUAUAUUGUGUUCUAUCAAAUGAAGGGCUUUUAUGUAAAUGUUUCUCUUACGUGGUUUUUGCAUUAUAUGCACAUUUCGUGAGAGGAAUGUUGUUUUAAACUAUUCCAUCAAAUUACUAUCACAUGAGCAACCUGCCUUUCAAAAGAUCAUUUUAAGUAAAGGAACAAACUCAUUCAGAACAACUUUUUGAAUAAAUGUGUACAUAUUAAACUGCCAAAUGGUUUAAACCAUGGAUAUGCAUUUUUAUUUGUCAAAUUAAUCCUUAUUAUAAAUCUAAGAAGCCAUUUACAUUGUGGGUUGUUUCAUUAAAGUAUUUGCUAAAUUCCAUCUGUCCAACAGCAUAUGAUGUAACAGCAAAAAAAGCAUUUUCCGUGUUGUGUGUGUGGCACAUGCAGAGAUGAUGGACAACAGUAAGCAGGAUGAACUUACAGAAGAUGAAAUGAUUUUUGGGCAUCUGGAAAUGGGCCCCGUCAUGACGGUGUAUCAGGCUGUAAGACUCAUAUAAAAAAUAUAAGUAGGCCUAGUGUUUAUGAUUAAACCAGAUUUGGAGGGAUGAUGAUAAUGAUCUAUUGUCUUAACAAAAAGUUAAAAAAAAAACUUGCAUUGUUGGUGUACAUUGCUGAGAUCAAAGAGGUUCGCCAAUGGGAGACAUUCAAGGACUUCCAGUUUAGCAAGAACAGGUGUGUCAAUUUUGACGCACCUUUGGCCAAGCAGAAAGUGAAACAGACUUUACACAGAAAAGCAAAACUGGUUUUACUGGUAUGUAUACAUUUACUAUUUAUGGCGGAUGUCUAUAUUCAAGAAACACCCCUGUUGCCAAAAUUAUAUUUCAAAUCGUAUCAUUAUCAAUUGUUAAAGGUUUGUUUUGAUCAAAGUUUAUGUAUAGCACCUUAAAGGUCCACUAUGAAGUUUUGCUGCCUCUAUGGGUAAAGUAGCGAAUUGCAACCAACGGCUUACUCCAUCCCUCCCUGAUGAACGGCAGGACUAAGAUGUUGUCAUACUUUCGCUUGUUUGCAGAAGGAGAUAACAUAUGUUCGAAAUGCGCUCUGAGCAGUUGUGUGUUGGCAGCAACAACAUGCAUGCAAGUGUAUGUAGAUAGAAAUAGCACAUUCAAGUCAAGUCAAGGAGAGGGGGGUGAUUAUCUGAUAAAAGAUCCCUCGAGAUGAAGGCUUUCUUAUCAAACAAGGAAAUCAGCCUGGCACCUUUGCCCUGUACAUCAGGUUCUUUAAUAAUGCAUUCCCACUGUGUAAAUUCUUUGUUUUACUGUUUUCCUCAAUUUGAAUAAUUGUUUGUGUUUGGAACGAUUUACACGAAUGGCAACAAGUAUGUGUUGCGACAUUAUGAUUUUUUUAAGCUCCAGGAUAUAGUCAGCACUUUCUGCAUAAAGCCUUUCAAAAUUCAACAUCAAACAUUGCCUCCCAACACCAGAAUUCAUAGCACGGUUUUGCAUGGUAAGAGAAUUCUGUAUGGUGAUAGAGGGCAAUGGAGAGUGUGGGUAAAAUAAUGAAAAAGAUACCCAUUGAUUUAUUUUCCUUUCUCCAGGAAGAUCUCUAAACAUGAGGAGGAGAUAAAGAGGGGAAAAUGUAUUCUGGCAUUUAUUGCAUUAGAUAUCAAAAUAGUCUUCUCAGUGGGCACCAAGUGGUCCAGUGGACUGUACGUUGACAUGUUUUGCAGCAGCACAUCCGUCAACCUGAGUUUGAAUCCCAGCUUGUGGUCCUUUCCCUGCUUCCGAUUGGAGGAGCCAGACCUUACCUUCCUGCGCUUUUUAUGGAAGAUAUGUUUUCUGAUGUCACGUUUUAUCGCACAAUGACUUUUCCUGUCAGAGGUAUUUCGCUCAGGCUAUCGGUCUAUUCCGCUGAAGAACAGGUUUUGUGAAAACCUGGAGCUUGGCUCACUUCUGGUGGAGGUUGAUGUUAAACAGGGGAAGGAUUGUGGUCAUCAAGAAUUGACAACAGCAGUAUUGUCCUGCCAAUGCACAUGUGGUGUAAAGAAGCAUGUGCGUCUGUCAAUUCCAUGCAAAUGUCAACCUUACGAUGAAUAAAGUUUUCCCCAAAAACAAGUUUUUUCACAAAAGGUUUCCGCCAUACUGAUAUGUCGUAAGAUGUCAAUAUUUAUUAUAGUAACUAGCCUACUUAGAUGAAGAGGCAUACUUUCUGAAUUGUUCUGGUUUGCACAUUUGAACACCUACAAAAAAUUCCCUCAAAAAUGUGUGCCCUUCUUAACAGCCAAAACGAAUUCAUUUUAAGAUAACUAUUAAAAUAGUAGGGAUAUUUUUAUGAUGUCUGGACUCCAUCAUCAGGGGUUUAGUAAAAUAGAAACCGAAGGUGUACUAUAUUGGUAAUAAAUACAUUCUUAAAUGUCACGCCCAUAACGUUGGAAUUUUUUUAUUUGUGACCGUUCUUGCCGCCGGCCUCUGGAUCAUGGCAGAAAUGCUAACUUUGGUAUAUACUGGUAAAGCAUUUUGUUGUAUUUUUUCUCAAGAACUGAGGACAUAACAGUGAUAUUUAGAUUUUUGUUAUUCUCAUAACAGAAAAAAUGUAAUA